CCACUUUCAUUUGGGGGGUUCUGUUUUGAUAAGGCAAGGAGAAGGGAAGGAGCUCGAGCGGCGGAGGAGAGGAAGCGAUUUCUUAUGUUCAUGGCGAUUCCGGGCUAUUCCACCGCCCGAUUUCGAUUUCUCCUCCCUUUUCUCUUCGAUCCCCGCUGCCGCGGUUGGUUGUCCUUGUCUCUCGCGUUUCCCUGUGUUGUGGCUGUGUAGUUCCGGAUCUAGGUAAGUUUUGGAUCCGUGGUUCAUCUGUUAUUGGUGUUGUCCGUGGAUCCGUGGUAGGUGCAUGUUGCUGCCGUGUCUGUUUCUAGUCCGCCAUGCCUAGCGCUCCAUUUCCCAUCCUUCUGCCCGCCUGAGUUGUGUAGGAGCUUGUUGUAUGUGGGGAGUUCUAAUCCAUCUGCUUGUUGUGGUCCUUUUCUCCCCUGCUUGUAGAUGUAGAGGUAGGCGUAGGUUGUUUAUUCUGAUGUAGAUGUAGAGGUAGGCGAAGUUAUAGUUGCAGCGGUGGAUUCGCCCUAUCAAUUUUAUUUCUGCUGGCCUGGGUGUCUGUUCCUUUGUCGUUAGAUGUAGUUGCAGAUGGUCUAGCAUGGGUUUCUGCCUGCUUCUGCAGUUUACUUGUAGUUGCUAUUAGCUGCUGAUGUUUGCUGUUGUAGUCCCUGGAAUUCAGUAUGAAUUUUUUUGUUAGAUGUAGGUGUUCAUUUCACCCGGUACCUGAAUCUCUCUGAAUUUGUGUGUACUAGGCUGCAGUGUUGUUAUAGUGUUAGUCCAGGAAUCUCUCUGAAUUUCAUGCUUCUUUACGGUGUAUUUUUACUCCAGACUUGAAGUGUAACUUACCCCUAGAAUUGCAGUGUAUCCCCAUCCAGAAUUACUGUGUAAUUUAACUCAUAAUCACAGUGUAACUUGCCCCAUAAUUGCAGUGCAUUUACAGUGUAUCCUGAUGCUUCUUUAUUUGUUGUUACUCUGUAAUUUGUCCUAGUAGUACUGUGUAGUUCCCCCCUAAUUACAGUGUAAUCCUGAUGCUUCUUUCUUCAGUGUAAAUUUUGCUAUAAUUACUGUGUAACAUGUCGUAGAAUUACACUGUAGGUUACCCUGCAAUUACAGUGCAAUAUACCGUGAUUACCGUGUGUUUUUUGUGCUUCUUUAUUUGUAGUUACUGUGUAAUUUGUCCUAGAAUUACUGUGUAAUAUUUUCCCCCAUUACAGUGUAAUUCUCAUGUGUUGUAGAAUCACACUGUAGGUUAGCCUGCAAUUACAGUGUAAUAUACCGUAAUUACAUUGUUUUUUUCGUGCUUCUUUAUUUUGUAGUUACUGUGUAAUUUUCCCUAGAGUUAUUGUGUAAUAUUUUCCCCCGUUACAGUGUAAUUCUCAUGCUUCUUUCAGUGUAAAUUGCAGUGUAUAUUUUUCAGUGUAAUACUGCGCCAGUUUCUUUGUUAUUUACAUUGUAAUUUUUCUCAGAUGUUUUGCAUGCAUUCAUGCGGUUUUGCACUGUAAUAUCCCCCAUUCUUACUAUAUAAUUUAUCUUCAGUUUUUGGCAGUGUACUUCCUCUACCUUUUCAUUGUAAGUUGCCCUAAUUAUUGUGUAUUUUGACUUAGAGCUUCACUGUAUUUAGGUUGGUUUUUACACUGUAUUUUAAGUGAUUCUUGCACUGUAUUAAUAUGCCCCAUUAUUCUAUAAUUCCCCUGAUUGCUGCCUUUCAGUGUAUUUGUUGUGAGAUUUCCCUUGUAAUUGAGCCCCAUUACUCUAUAAUUUUCAACUUUCUUUAAUUUCUUUUUUUCGUGUGUCAUGUAUUCUGUUUUGUUAGGUUUAGGUCAAUGGGGAGACUACGGAAAGUCUCUCACAAGGAUGUUUCGGUAGUUUCUUCUAUCAUGAGUGCUGAUUCUUGGAAUGAUCCUUUUGUGCCUAAUGACUUUGCGGAAGAUGGUUCUAAUGCUAUGUCUUUGGAUCUUUCUAGUGAUGAUAGAGGGUUUGAUAAAGCUAUUUUUCAAGAAUUUCAUUGCAAUCCCCAUGCUUCCUUUUUGUAAUUGCAGUGUAAUAUACCCUAGAAUUGCAGUGUAAUUUAGCCCAGAUUUUAGUGUAAUCUCAAUGCUUCAUUUUUUUAAUUACAGUGUAAUUUUCCUAGAAUUACAGUGUAAACUCCAUGCUUCAUUUAUGUAAUUACAGUGUAAUUUUCCC